rnacentral:rRNA from 1 species
UGGGGAAUAUUGCACAAUGGGGGAAACCCUGAUGCAGCGACGCCGCGUGAGUGAAGAAGUAUUUCGGUAUGUAAAGCUCUAUCAGCAGGGAAGAUAAUGGCGGUACCUGACUAAGAAGCCCCGGCUAACUACGUGCCAGCAGCCGCGGUAAUACGUAGGGGGCAAGCGUUAUCCGGAUUUUACUGGGUGUAAAGGGUGCGUAGGUGGCAAAGGCAAGUCAGAUGUGAAAAGCCCCGGGGGCUCAAACCCCGGUACUGCAUUUGAAAACUGUCUGGCUGGAGUGCAGGAGAGGUAAGCGGAAUUCCUAGUGUAGCGGUGAAAUGCGUAGAUAUUAGGAGGAACACCAGUGGCGAAGGCGGCUUACUGGACUGUAACUGACACUGAGGCACGAAAAGCGUGGGGAGCAAAACAGGAUUAGAUACCC